rnacentral:rRNA from 1 species
CCUACGGGCGGCUGCAGUGGGGAAUAUUGGACAAUGGGCGAAAGCCUGAUCCAGCCAUGCCGCGUGUGUGAAGAAGGCCUUCGGGUUGUAAAGCACUUUCAGUGGGGAAGAAAGCCUUGGGGCUAAUACCCUCGAGGAAGGACAUCACCCACAGAAGAAGCACCGGCUAACUCCGUGCCAGCAGCCGCGGUAAUACGGAGGGUGCGAGCGUUAAUCGGAAUUACUGGGCGUAAAGCGCGCGUAGGCGGUCUGAUAAGCCGGUUGUGAAAGCCCCGGGCUCAACCUGGGAACGGCAUCCGGAACUGUCAGGCUAGAGUCCAGGAGAGGAAGGUAGAAUUCCCGGUGUAGCGGUGAAAUGCGUAGAGAUCGGGAGGAAUACCAGUGGCGAAGGCGGCCUUCUGGACUGACACUGACGCUGAGGUGCGAAAGCGUGGGUAGCAAACAGGAUUAGAUACCCCUGUAGUC